GUGGUGUCGUGCCGGAUCAGUACAGAUUUCCUUUAAAAUCACUGUGUGUUUCUGUUUUCGCGCACUUUUAAGUGCUUGCCAGUGCUGAAGGAAGGAUGGUGUCGUGCCUAAUCAAUCUAGCUGUACUAUAAAAUAACUGGUUGUUUAUGAUGUCGUCAUGCACUUUGUGUUGCUUUUCAAAGCCGAUGCGAAGGAGUGCUGUCGUGCCUGAACAAAUUUUCCUUUAAAAUCACUGGUUCCACCUUCUAUAGAGAGCAUGUUGCUGCGAAUUCACAUUUCCCCUACCAACAUCAGGAGGGUGGAGCUGCAUGAAAGGCCUGAGUCUGUGGACCAUUUGAAGUCUUUCCUUAAAGAGACAUUACAGCUGAAAUCUGAAUUCUCACUACAAUUUGAAGACCCAGACUUUAACAACGAACUUUGUAACUUUGACAUUGGUACAUCCAAGGAUUUAGGUCAAGAUUGGAUUACAGGGAUAUCAGUGUAAUUGCUGUUUUGAUGUUAAUGUUCUGACAAGAAAAAAGUACACUGUAUUAAUAGCUGCUGAGUAAGGUUUGUGUUUACUCAGAUGUUCCCAGUUAUUUUGGUUUCUUGGAUAUAAUGGUAAAUUGUUUUUAAGAAACCUUUAGGUUUCAUGUUAAAAUAUGCAGAAUAGUAGUUCUCACAGAACUUUUACUUUAAAAAUCAACCAAAAAUGUUAAGUACAUUUACAAAUGUGCUUCAUGCUACAGGACAGCUAACGUUGUACGUUAUAAUUACCACCUGUUUUGUGGAUUUCUUUAACAUGCAUUGGUAUGUGCAAUGCAUUGAGUUUAGUGUAAAAUGUUAAGAAGUUAAAAGGCAAUACUUGAUACUGUUAUGUCAUUGCAUAUAUUGUGCAUUGGACACAAAAUGUUUAAAUAAAAAAAAAAAAGUUAUUUGACCCUUGUUAUGUUCUCUUCUUUAUUAAGACUAUGUAAAUAAUGAAUCAGUGUAGGCCUAUAGAUAAUAGGCCUAUUUGUGUUGAGUAAACAAAAAAUAUUUAG